rnacentral:sRNA from 2 species
CCAAUCUAUCUACCACUGCUAAUCUAUACCGCUGCCAACCUACCUAUCGCUGCUAAUCUAUCGCUGCUGCCAAUCUACCUACCGCUGCCAACCUAUCUAUCACUGCCAAUCUAUCUACCACUGCUAAUCUAUCGCUGCUAAUCUAUCGCUGCUAAUCUAUUGCUGCUAAUCUAUCUAUCACUGCUAAUCUAUCGCUGCCAACCUACCUACCGCUGCCAAUCUAUCUACCACUGCCAAUCUACCUACUGCUGCCAACCUACCUAUCACUGCUAAUCUAUCACUGCUAAUCUAUCGCUGCUAAUCUAUUGCUGCUAAUCUAUUGCUGCUAAUCUACCUACUGCUGCCAACCUAUCUAUCACUGCCAACCUAUCUACCACUGCUAAUCUAUUGCUGCUAAUCUAUCUAUCACUGCUAAUCUAUCGCUGCCAACCUAUCUACUGCUGCCAAUCUAUCUACCACUGCCAAUCUAUCUACCGCUGCCAACCUAUCUACCACUGCUAAUCUAUCACUGCUAAUCUAUCGCUGCUAAUCUAUUGCUGCUAAUCUAUCACUGCUAAUCUAUUGCUGCUAAUCUAUCUAUCACUGCUAAUCUAUCGCUGCCAACCUACCUACCGCUGCCAACCUACCUACCGCUGCCAACCUACCUACCGCUGCCAACCUAUCUACCGCUGCCAACCUAUCUACCACUGCUAAUCUAUCACUGCUAAUCUAUCGCUGCCAAUCUAUAUAGGGUAAAUCAUGGUCCCAUUUGGUCCCAUUUUGUAAAAUGGAAUCAAAUGGAACUGGGAUCACUAAUUUAUUAAUAAAACAUGAUCUGAGACUAGAUUUAUAAUAUAAACAGUGUAAAGUGACUAAUUUACUAAAUACUAUAUGGGAUCAGAACUAAGAUAUCUAAUAAUGAAACUGAGGAAAAAUUUGGUCCCAGUUCCAUGCAUGGUCACACAGUCAGUCUAAAUAUCAAGAAGAUAUUAGAAAAAUUAGAGCUCA